CAGCCGCCGCGGGAAUACGAAGGGGGCUAGCGUUGUUCGGAUUUACUGGGCGUAAAGCGCACGUAGGCGGAACGAUCAGUCAGGGGUGAAAUCCCAGAGCUCAACUCUGGAACUGCCUUUGAUACUGUCGAUCUGGAGUAUGGAAGAGGUGAGUGGAAUUCCGAGUGUAGAGGUGAAAUUCGUAGAUAUUCGGAGGAACACCAGUGGCGAAGGCGGCUCACUGGUCCAUUACUGACGCUGAGGUGCGAAAGCGUGGGGAGCAAACAGGAUUAGAUACCCCCGUAGUCCCUGUCUCUUAUAC
rnacentral:rRNA from 1 species